rnacentral:rRNA from 1 species
UACAGAGGUCCCAAGCGUUGUUCGGAUUCAUUGGGCGUAAAGGGUGCGUAGGCGGCGCGGUAAGUCGGGUGUGAAAUCUCGGGGCUUAACUCCGAAACUGCAUUCGAUACUGCCGUGCUUGAGGACUGGAGAGGAGACUGGAAUUUACGGUGUAGCGGUGAAAUGCGUAGAUAUCGUAAGGAAGACCAGUGGCGAAGGCGGGUCUCUGGACAGUUCCUGACGCUGAGGCACGAAGGACAGGGGAGCAAACGGG